GAUGAACGCUGGCGGCGUGCUUAACACAUGCAAGUCGAACGAUGAAGCCCAGCUUGCUGGGUGGAUUAGUGGCGAACGGGUGAGUAACACGUGAGUAACCUGCCCUUAACUCUGGGAUAAGCCUGGGAAACUGGGUCUAAUACCGGAUAGGAGCGUCCACCGCAUGGUGGGUGUUGGAAAGAUUUAUCGGUUUUGGAUGGACUCGCGGCCUAUCAGCUUGUUGGUGAGGUAAUGGCUCACCAAGGCGACGACGGGUAGCCGGCCUGAGAGGGUGACCGGCCACACUGGGACUGAGACACGGCCCAGACUCCUACGGGAGGCAGCAGUGGGGAAUAUUGCACAAUGGGCGCAAGCCUGAUGCAGCGACUCCGCGUGAGGGAUGACGGCCUUCGGGUUGUAAACCUCUUUCAGUAGGGAAGAAGCGAAAGUGACGGUACCUGCAGAAGAAGCACCGGCUAACUACGUG
rnacentral:rRNA from 1 species